rnacentral:tRNA from 1 species
AGGUCCGUGGCCUAAUGGAAAGGCGUCUGACUCCGGAUCAGGAGAUUGCGGGUUCGAUCCCCGCCGGACCUG